rnacentral:lncRNA from 1 species
AAGGCCCUGUUUGGCAUGCCUCACUAAGCCUCACUGGACUGGACUGGGUUAAAUAGUCCUUAAAACCUAUGUUUGGUAAGGGAAGGGAUUAAGUUAAAUGAGAUUAUAUAGUCCAAUGGGAAAAAAAACGUUGGACUCGCUUGUUUAAUAUAGCGAGCCCAAAACUGGGUUCGCAAAAUAGCGAGGAUGCUAUUUUGAACACACAGUCCGGCUGAAUACCACCUCUACCAUCAAACACACGAGCCCGAAACAUCAAACAUACCACCAUCACCACGAUGCCACAACCAUCAGACCACCACCAUCAAACACAUAACCAGCCACCACAUACCCAAUCGAACCAUCACCAUCACCCAAUUAGUCAAUCAAACCAUCAUCACCAGCCACCACAUACCCAGUUAAACCACCAGCACUACCCAAUCGAACCACCACAACCAUUAAUUAGUGGAACUAGAAAGAGAGAGAGAGAGAGAGAGAGAGAGAGAGAGAGAGAGAGAGAGAGAGAGAGAGAGAGAGAGAGAGAGAGAGAGAGGGUGAGUUGAUGGUUGAAUCUGUAGUGGCAUGAAGAGAGAGUCAGAAGGAGGGAAGGAAGAAGAAAAGAUAAAGGAAAGAAUAGGAAGAAUGAAACAAAGAAAAACAGAAAUGGCAUGGGAAUGGAAAGAAGAAGAGAGGAUGAAGGAAGGAAAAAAAAAAAAAAAAAAAAAAAGAAACGGGCCUGGGAAGAAAAUACAGAGGAGUGAAGAUGAAGGAAGAAAUGGGGGAAAAAAGGGGCAGAGAAGAAAAGAAAUAAGAAAAGACAAAGAAGAAAAGAAAUCGGAAAAGAUAAAGAAGAAAAGAAAUCAGAAAAGAUAAAGAAGAAAAGACAAAGGAGAGAAGAGUAUGGAUG